AAAAAAUUACUCACGAAUUGUAAUUGUUUUUAAUUUGUGUAGCAUUCUGAAAAAUAAUUCAUUAUUGGAAUGUGUGCUUUAUAUAUUAAUAAAAUAUACCUAUAUACAUAUAUAUUAAAUAUAAAUAAACAAUUGUGUGUGUAUAUGUAUUUAAUGAGUAUUAUUUUAUUUAAAUAAGUAUAUUUAUAAAUCUAUUUAUAUCUUGUUAUUCACAUAACUUAAAUAAAUAAAUAAAUAUAUUUAUAUUCAUUUUAUAUAUUUUAUUCAUGAAAUAUUAAAAAAAAAAAAAAAAAAAUGGAUAUGGAGAUUAAAGAGUUUGACAAAUUAUCUGGGCUUCGGAUAAACUGUACGAAGGAUUUGAUUUUUAAAGGAGGUCUAAGUUCUAUAAUUGGGAUGAUAUUAGGAAUAAUAUGUUCUUUAAUAGUUAAUUGUACGUUAGUAGAAGUUUCGUUAUCAACAUUUUUUUCUAUGUAUUUUGGUAUAUUGUUUAUUGUAGUUGGAAUUAUAAUAUUUUGGAGAUUAAGUGCUAAUAUAGGUGAUGAGUCUGAAAAUAGGAGAACCCAAUUAAUGGUCUUAGCAGCAAUGAUAAUAUUAUCAGGGUUCUUAUGUCUAUUUUUUGAGCGUACGUGGCUUUUUUCUCUUUCCACUAUCGCGAAAGUACCUAUCUAUUGUCUUUUGGGAAUUAGCAUUGCUUUUGCCGUGACAUUUAGUUUAAUAGAUUUUAUAAAUUAUUUAUUUGGUUUUAUCCAAGGAUCAAUUACUAGACCAUUGAUUGAAUCCACAGCACAGGUAUACUUAAUAUUAUUAUUUACUAUAACAAUGGGAGGAAUCUUUGGCUUUAUAUUUGGCCUGAUAAAUGUUGAAGAUGAAUCAUCUCAUCACGUUCGCUUGGCAUUAAUGAAAGCGGAAAAUUCCUGUUUCCCUUUGGGAGCUAUUUUAGGAGGAAUAGCUGGUUUUGGAAACGAAGUUUAUAGACAACAAAACGAAGCUUAUAAAUUGGAGAAUGUUACUGAAUUUGAUGACGAAGUUUAAAAGAAUAUAUAUUUUUUUUUUUUCUUUUUUUUUUUUUUUUUUCGUAAUUUUAAAAUAAUAUAAAAACGUUAAUAUAUUAAAAAAGUAGGAUAUUGUGUGAAAAAAAUAUGGAACAAGAAACUAAAAAUAGAUAAAUAGAUAAAUAAUCGAAUAAAUAAACGAAUAAAUAAACGAAUAAAUAAACG
rnacentral:lncRNA from 1 species